rnacentral:rRNA from 1 species
AUUGAACGCUGGCGGCAUGCCUAACACAUGCAAGUCGAACGGCAGCACGGCAGUAGCAAUACUGUGGGUGGCGAGUGGCGGACGGGUGAGGAAUACGUCGGAAUCUGCCCAGUCGUGGGGGAUAACUAGCCGAAAGGUUAGCUAAUACCGCAUACGACCGAGAGGUGAAAGCGGGGGACCGCAAGGCCUCGCGCGAUUGGAUGAGCCGACGUCGGAUUAGCUAGUUGUGGGGUAAAGGCCCACCAAGGCGACGAUCCGUAGCUGGUCUGAGAGGAUGAUCAGCCACACUGGAACUGAGACACGGUCCAGACUCCUACGGGAGGCAGCAGUGGGGAAUAUUGGACAAUGGGCGCAAGCCUGAUCCAGCAAUGCCGCGUGUGUGAAGAAGGCCUCGG